GACCCCGCACAAGCGGUGGAUCAUGUUGUUUAAUUCGAAGAUACGCGAAGAACCUUACCAGGUCUUGACAUCCUCUGCAAUGCUAUAGAGAUAUAGCGGAGGUUACCAGAGAGACAGGUGGUGCAUGGUUGUCGUCAGCUCGUGUCGUGAGAUGUUCGGUUAAGUCCGGUAACGAGCGCAACCCUCGUCGUUAGUUGCCAUCAUUAAGUUGGGGACUCUAACGAGACUGCCAGUGACAAACUGGAGGAAGGUGGGGAUGACGUCAAAUCAUCAUGCCCCUUAUGACCUGGGCUACAAACGUGAUACAAUGGCUGCAACAAAGGGAAGCGAAGAGGUGACUCGGAGCAAAUCUCAAAAAAACAGUCUCAGUUCGGAUUGAAGUCUGCAACUCGACUUCAUGAAGCCGGAAUCGCUAGUAAUCGCGAAUCAGAACGUCGCGGUGAAUACGUUCUCGGGGUUU
rnacentral:rRNA from 1 species